GGGAGGCGCGGGUCGAUGCCCCCCCCUGUACCUUCAGCUAAUUCCCAGAAUCCUUUGCGCCAAUGCAGAAAGACAGGAAGUGUGACCCAGGCUUGAUAACAGCGGGGGCAACUAUUUGUGCAAACCGGGGGGGCCGAGAGCACACAAGGAGGUGUCUGUUCUCUUUCCUGUUGCUUGUUUUGUCAGAUGUGAGCGGCUGAAUGUGUCUGAAUGUGUCUUUAUGCGUCGGAAUGAAAACCAGCGGCGGACAAAGAAGCCUCCACAUGAGCUCCGAGACAACUUUGGAUGCAUUAUUCCAGAUCGUCACUUGCAUCAAACCCGCCGGCCUUUGUUUACCUAAUGUGGAGACUUCAGUCCACAAAAUGUCUCACCAGAUAUCGUAAAAACCGCUUUCGUAGCAGUCGACUGCUGACUUAGUCUUUGUUUAAUAGGAACCUCAUGCGGGACUUUGGCCCUACACGCCUUCCUUCAUUCUUUCCCUCUUUCCUCUGAUGGCAACAAACGGCCAGAUUGAGGGUGUGCGUUGUGGCCGUCGUCCAUCGUUUCGAUGGAAUUUGGGAGAAAAAGAAAAGAGAAACUCUGAUCUGCUACGAUUCACCGACUCACAUUGUCAAAUCCCAACAUUCACUGCUUUUGGAAGUCCCAGAAGAAACCUUUGUUGGCAGGUUGCACCACUUGAGCUGUUUCCACUUGAGCUGGAUUAAAGCAAGCCACCUCGAUGGUAGACGGCGCGACGGCUCACCUUCCUCCUGUCAAGUGUCACUUCCUCUGAGCUGUUUGUCUCACUUUAAAGUUCCCCUUUCGUGGCCGAGGCGAGUGCUGCACGCUGGCUGAAAGCGAGGAAGUCAGACGCGGCGGGGGGGGGGGCUUCGCCUCAGAUCGGCCGAGCAACAAAGGACUGCGGUUCAAAGCCAAGCGAAAUGAAGAGAGCGGCGGCCCUCGACCGCCCCGCUUACACCGUGCACAUGUGCGUUUUAUCACGCCGAAACCCGAUAGCGAGAGCAGCGUUCAUCCUCUCACUGGAGUUUCAGCUGCAGAAAGGGAUGAAAUUCGGCCAACCACCAACUGCGUCUGACACACAUUCCACGCGGCGAGCAGUUCAGAGGUCAACUAUUUGCAGAAGCAGCGGGGCGGCAGCAGAGGCUUAUCGAAUGUGUGUGAUGUCCAGUCGUGUGCGUUCACACCCAGCGCGUGUGAGAGGUUUGCUUGACCUCUGCAGCCUUUUCUCCUUCCUUUAAAAGGGAACGCCAUAUUAUUUACCGAUACUCUGUGGUUGGAUGGGGAGGAGGUAACAGAGAAUGAAGCAUCGUUACCUAAAAUUACGAUGGGUGGGGAGAUAGAACUCAUUAAAAUCAGUUCCCCAGCAUCUUCCCUCAGAUGCCAACAUUAUAAGCUGUGUGUAAAACGUGAAAUGUGCGCGUGCGCUUUGUAUAAGUUCAGCUUUCCGUCUGCAGGAGGGAGUUUGACUCAUCUCCUCUCACUGCCUAACACAGUCUCCCUUUAAUCACUGAUAUGUUGCCAUUUAGAUGAUGACGGAAUUGAACGCAGACGAUUCAGGGUGUGAUCGCACCUCAUUUAUUUAUUUUUGACACCUAAUCUGUUUGCUGGCUUCUCGUCUCCAGACUCAAACCAAACAGUGUGUGUCGUGGUUGCAGCGCGUUUCUCUAUUGAUUACUUACGGGACAAAGGGGGAGAGAGAGAGAGAGAGAGAGGUGGUGACUCCUGCUCUCACUUGGCUGCUAACGUCUUCGCCACAUGACCCGGCAGGAAUCUGUGGGAGCGCGCACACAAACACAUGCAUCCAAUAAAAAGUGUGUGUGUUUGUGUGUCUGUGAACACACUUCAUCCCACACUCUUUCCCACUUUUCACGCACCACUUCGCUCCUCCUGCUAAGGCUGCUGAUCGUGCGUCCAUCAGACGGCGAGGGGAGAAGUGGAGAAUGUGGAGGUAAUGGCGUUUGGCUUUGCCAGGGCGGCAGGAGGAGAAGAGGAGAGGAAGGUAGGGAGCAGGAAAUGAGGAGAAGAGGGAGAGGCGAGACGGGUAAAGACGCGUCCUGGCCGAACGCACUGCAGGCCCGCCAGUCUUUACUGUGGGAAUUCUGGAACUCACUCAAUCACCCAACGGAAAUGACCAGAGAAGGGAGGGGGG
ensembl:lncRNA